UCUACCCUUAGAUGCAUUGCUGGUGUGUCAUGAGUGCAUUAGUAAACUGCAGAAAAGAGAGGGGCUGUGUCUAAUGCUCAAUGUUUUAACCUAUAAACAUCUGAAUGAUUAGAAGCCUAACAUU
rnacentral:snoRNA from 1 species